AGGUAAAGUGGCCGAAUAGGUGUUGAGUUGUAGCCUCAAUAAUAGGGGUUAAAGUCCCUUCUAUACCAA
rnacentral:tRNA from 1 species